rnacentral:rRNA from 1 species
CCUGUUUAACAAAAACAUUUUUAUUAGAGAUAAUUAAUAAUAAAAUCUGCUCAAUGAUAUUUAAAUAGCCGCAAUUCGUGCUAAGGUAGUAUAAUAAUUUGUCUUUUAAUUAAAGACCAAACAAAAGAUUUAACAUUUCAAUUUAUUUAUUAAUUUAAAUAUUUAAAUUAUUUUAACUGUAAAAAAACAAUUUUUUUUUUAAAAAGACGACAAGACCCUAUUGAACUUAACUUUAGUUUAACUGGGGCAGUUAAUUAAAUAUAAUUUUAUUUUAAAUCAAAAAAUAUAAGACCUAAUCUAAUUAAUUAAAAAAUCAAGUUACCAUAGGGAUAACAGAGUAAUAAUUUUUUAAAGAUCUUAUUUAAAAAAAUAGAUUACAACCUCGAUGUUGAAUUAAUAUUCUAAUUAACGCAAUAGUAAAUAAAGAAAGUCUGUUCGACUUUUAAAAAAUUACGUGAUCUGAGUUCA